UGGUAGAUUUUAUCAAACUUGCUGGGAGGUGGUUGGGAAUGAUGUUCUUAAAAUGGUGCAAGAAUUCUUCAAAGGUAACUCUCUUCCUAAAUCUAUUACUCACACCAAUCUAGUUUUGUUGCCCAAAAAAGAACAGAUCCAUUCUUUCACUGAUUUGAGGCCGAUUAGUUUGAGCAACUUCAUCAACAAGAUAAUAUCAAGGAUUGUGCAUGAUAGAAUUGAGAAAUACUUGCCUAAACUAAUAUCUUAUAAUCAAUCGGGAUUUGUGAAUGGUAGAAGUAUCAUGAAACCAUCCUACUCACACAAGAGAUAGUUACUGAUAUUAGAAAAAGAGGUAAGCUAACAAAUGUGGUGCUGAAACUUGAUAUGUCAAAGGCAUAUGACAGGGUAUCUUGGUUUUUCCUGAUGAAAGUCCUAAGGAGAAUGGGUUUUUCAGAAAUGUUUGUGGACCUAAUCUGGAGAUUAUUAUCUAAUAAUUGGUACUCAGUAUUGGUUAAUGGACAAUCCCAUGGAUUCUUUCACUCCACUAGAGGGGUUAAGCAAGGGGAUCCCUUAUCUCCUGCUCUAUUUAUACUAUCAGCUGAAGUUCUCUCUAGAUCCUUAAAUGCUUUAUUUGAGGAUGAUUCGUAUGUGGGUUAUGGCAUGCCUAAGUGGAGCACUCCUAUAAAUCACCUAGCCUAUGCAGAUGAUACUAUUAUAUUUGCUUCAGCUAACAGAUAUUCUUUGGAGAAGAUAAACUCAGUUUUGCAGGCAUAUGAAGAGGAAUCAGGUCAGAAAAUCAAUAAGGAGAAAAGUGCUUUAUAUAUGCACCAAAAAUGCAGCAGCUACAGAAAAACAACUAGUGGAAGAGUGCACUGGCAUGUCUAGUCGCUAAUUCCCAUUGAAGUAUCUGGGAUGCCCUAUCACUCAUGCUAGAAAAAGGAAGGCACACUAUGCCGAGCUUAUCCAGAAGGUGAAAUCUAAAUUACAGGCUUGGAAAGGUCAGAUGCUCUCGUAUGGUGGAAAGGAGGUGGUUAUUUCUGGUGUUCUACAAAGUGUCCCUAUUCAUGUCCUCUCUGUUGUUGUACCACCUAAUUGUGUGAUGAAAGAGCUUCACAAAAUUUUUGCUAAGUUUUUUUGGAGCAAUAAGGUUGAGGGUAAGAGCAAACACUGGGCUGCUUGGGAGAAAGUGUGCUUACCAAAGAAUGAAGGGGGCUUGGGGUUCAAAUCUCUGUUUGAAGUGUCAAAGGCCAUGCAUGCCAAACUAUGAUGGAGAUUCAGGACACAAAAUUCUACUUGGACUAAUUUCAUGUGGAAUAAAUAUUGUAAGAAACAAAUUCCAACCCUUGUUCAAUGGAAGGGAGGAUCUCAGGCUUGGAAAUAUAUGUUGCAAAAUAGGGAUGCAGUUGAACAAUAUUUGUGGUGGGAACCUAAGAGAGGUACUUCAUCAGUUUGGUAUGAUAAUUGGACCCAACUUGGGCCAUUAUAUAAACAUCAAACAGAAGUACAAACUUGUCACUCUUUGGUGGACAUUGAAGUUUUUAUGCAGAAUACAGGCUGGGACUAUGAGAGCAUGCAACAACACAUUCCUAAUAAUAUCAUUGAGAAUGUUAAAAGUCAUUUAGAUCGUGUGAGACAGAAUGAGGAGGGGGAUAGAACAUGGUGGAUUAAAACAAGCACUAGCAAAUUCACUAUAAAGAGUGUAUAGGAUAUACUAAGAAGAAGAGAUGAUGUAAAUGUACAUUUCGAGAAGAUAUGGAUGAAGGAAAUCCCUUUAAAAAUAUCUUUCUUUGGUCGGAGGGUUUGGAAAAACAGGGUACCAGUAGCAGCUGUUUUAGCUCUUUGGAAUCCAAAUUUGUCAGAACUUUGUAGUUGUUGUGUUACACCAGAAAAGGAAACAUUGGAACAUCUGUUCCUAAAGGGCGAAAUAGCUAUGGAGGUAUGGCAACACUAUUCUAAUGCUGCAGGUUUAUUAGGACCCUGGAUACAAAUCAAGCAAACUAUGGACAUAUGGUGGACAACUAAGGUGAACCCUAUGCAAAAGUACAUUUUUCAGGCAGUACCUACCAUAAUUUUGUGGUUCCUAUGGAAAAGGAGGAACUCAGUCCUCCAUGGAGGGUCAUAUAAUACCAACAAGUUGAUUUGGGACAUUAAUUAUAUGGUCCAGAAGCUGCUUAGAAGUAAAUUUGGUCUUGAACAAACUCCAAACACCUAGCCUCAAAUAGUUCCUGCCAUGGAGGGUUUCAGACCCAAGUUCGAGACUAAAUGGGUUAGAUGGUCUCCACCACCUUGUGGGUGGUGGAAAUGCAACACUGAUGGGGCAUCUAGAGGUAACCCAGGCCCAAGUUCUGCUGCGUUUUGUGUCAGAAACCAUCAUGGGGAUAUAAUUGGUGCACAAGGAAACAUGCUUCCUAAUUCUACUAAUUUGGUGGCUGAAAUGAUUGCUAUAAGAUCAGGCUUACAAUUUUGUUUGGAAAAUCAUAUUCCAAAGUUAAUUGUAGAAUCUGACUCUCUUGCAGCAGUGAACAUAAUCAAUGGUCUAUGGAAAAUUCCUUGGAAUGUGACAUUGGAGGUCAAUUCUAUAAGGAAAAUGAUGGAGUCCAUUACAACAAGAGUACAACACUCCUUGAGGGAGGGGAAUACUCUUGCGGACUAUUUAGCUAACAUGGUUUUUCAUUUUGCAGGUAACUUUGAAUUCAAAACUUUCCAGGAAAUGCCAAGCACAGCAAAGAAGAUUAUUAAUUUGGAUAAAUAGAGCACGCCACAAUUGAGGAUAAGGAAAUGCACAACAAUCUAAUCAUGGUCUUAACAGUGCAGAAUCAGGUUUUUCUUGAAAUUCUAAAAUCUGCCAGAUGAUACUAAUUGACUAAGUACAUAAUGUUGUCUGAACUAAGUUCUGUUGGUUAAACUUAUCAUGCACCUGGUGAGAGAUUGAGGUGUUUCAAAUGAUAUAAAACCAAGACACAUUAAUCUUGGUGCUUAGUGAUUAAAUAUCAUCUGCAGGUUAUAGCAAUUCAAGUACUACAAGAAUCAGUACAAUUGAAGAGUAUUGAAAUAUGAGCAAACAAUGUACCUGAGACCAUAACACAUCUGAUAAGAAUCACAGCAGCUAAAGCAAUCUUUGUAACCAGUACCAAUGAGCGG
rnacentral:lncRNA from 1 species